AUACGGAGGAUGCAAGCGUUAUCCGGAUUUAUUGGGUUUAAAGGGUGCGUAGGCGGGCUGUUAAGCGUGAGGUGAAAGCUCGGGGCUCAACCCCGGAACUGCCUCGCGAACUGGCGGGCUUGAAUGUCCGUGCCGUGGGGGGAAUGUGUGGUGUAGCGGGGAAAUGCAUAGAGAUCACACAGAACACCGAUUGCGAAGGCAUCUCACGAACGGAUGAUUGACGCUGAGGCACGAAAGCGUGGGGAUCAAACAGGAUUAGAUACCCUGGUAGUCCACGCAGUAAACGAUGAUAACUAACCGCUGGUUUUUCGGAAUCAGUGGCCAAGCGAAAGCGAUAAGUUAUCCACCUGGGGAGUACGACCGCAAGGUUGAAACUCAAAUGAAUUGACGGGG
rnacentral:rRNA from 1 species